rnacentral:tRNA from 1 species
GUAGCUCGUCAGGCUCAUAACCUGAAGGCCGCAGGUUCAAAUCCUGCCCCCGCAU